GACGAACGCUGGCGGCGUGCCUAAUACAUGUAAGUCGAGCGGACGAAUCGAAAGCUUGCUUUUGAUUCGUUAGCGGCGGACGGGUGAGUAACACGUGGGCAACCUGCCCUGUAGACGGGGAUAACACCGAGAAAUCGGUGCUAAUACCGGAUAACACGAAAUGUCGCAUGACGUUUCGUUGAAAGACGGCGCAAGCUGUCGCUACAGGAUGGGCCCGCGGCGCAUUAGCUAGUUGGUGGGGUAACGGCUCACCAAGGCGACGAUGCGUAGCCGACCUGAGGGGGUGAUCGGCCACACUGGGACUGAGACACGGCCCAGACUCCUACGGGAGGCAGCAGUAAGGAAUCUUCCGCAAUGGACGAAAGUCUGACGGAGCAACGCCGCGUGAGCGAAGAAGGCCUUCGGGUCGUAAAGCUCUGUUGUUAGGGAUGAACAAGUAACGCAGUAACUGGCGUUACCGUGACGGUACCUAACGAGAAAGCCACGGCUAACUACGUG
rnacentral:rRNA from 1 species